GUGGGGAAUAUUGGACAAUGGGCGAAAGCCUGAUCCAGCCAUGCCGCGUGUGUGAAGAAGGUCUUCGGAUUGUAAAGCACUUUAAGUUGGGAGGAAGGGUAGUAACCUAAUACGUUGCUACUUUGACGUUACCGACAGAAUAAGCACCGGCUAACUUCGUGCCAGCAGCCGCGGUAAUACGAAGGGUGCAAGCGUUAAUCGGAAUUACUGGGCGUAAAGCGCGCGUAGGUGGUUUUGUAAGUUGGAGGUGAAAUCCCCGGGCUCAACCUGGGAACUGCCUCCAAAACUGCAUGACUAGAGUACGGUAGAGGGUAGUGGAAUUUCCUGUGUAGCGGUGAAAUGCGUAGAUAUAGGAAGGAACACCAGUGGCGAAGGCGACUACCUGGACUGAUACUGACACUGAGGUGCGAAAGCGUGGGGAGCAAACAGGAUUAGAUAUCCCAGUAGUCC
rnacentral:rRNA from 1 species